rnacentral:rRNA from 1 species
AGGUGCUGCAUGGCUGUCGUCAGCUCGUGUUGUGAAAUGUUGGGUUAAGUCCCGCAACGAGCGCAACCCUUAUCCUUUGUUGCCAGCGAUUCGGUCGGGAACUCAAAGGAGACUGCCGGUGAUAAACCGGAGGAAGGUGGGGAUGACGUCAAGUCAUCAUGGCCCUUACGAGUAGGGCUACACACGUGCUACAAUGGCGCAUACAAAGAGAAGCGACCUCGCGAGAGCAAGCGGACCUCACAAAGUGCGUCGUAGUCCGGAUCGGAGUCUGCAACUCGACUCCGUGAAGUCGGAAUCGCUAGUAAUCGUGGAUCAGAAUGCCACGGUGAAUACGUUCCCGGGCCUUGUACACACCGCCCGUCACA